ACAUCCACACCUAAAGCCCAUCUGUACAUCACCAUCAUUAAAGUAAUCAAAGGAGAGAGGAUUGAAACAUGGGGACAUAAUUUUGCACUAUCAUGAGGUACAAAUAUUUAACACUAUUAAAACAGCGCUGAAGAGAAUGGGGAAAAAAGAGGCACAGUUAUAUGCUGUUGGGCUAACUUCUGCAGGAAGCAACUCAGCAAUACACAUGUGAAGCUUAAAAACAUGCAGAACUUCUGAAUCCGUAUUUCUACACUCAGGAAUCUGUUCUUCCCCGGUAAUAAUGCAAAACACAAACAAAAUAAAUGUAUACCAUAUUCAUCAAACCAGCAUUUAUCAUUGAAAGAAAUAAGAAAAAAAGCAAUACCUAACAAUAAAAAAGUAGAGAAAAAUGACUAUUGACUGUGUAAUGGAAUAUGAUGCAACCAUUAAACGAUGGCGGUCAUUAGGUUAUGCAGAGCGAGGUCAAGUGGCCAAGUGGCAUGAGCAUCACCACUCCUGCAGCAGCCUGGGCAGCUUCCACUGGGCAGAACAGACCCAGGAUGACAGGCCCGUAGUAUAGGACUCCAUUGUCCAUCACACCCCACCCCGCUAGGUAGCAGCAGUCCAGCCAGUGCAGAUGUUUGUUGCCUGGAGAGAGUCUGAUGCCUGAACUGCAACCUUCAAACUGCGAGACUGGGGAGUGUCACUGGGGUGUCUUCAGGACCUUGGAUAACUCCAGUGAGGCCGUAAGAUUAGAGAUGGCACCAGGAGACAGUGGGAGAUGGUUGUCCACCUGCAAUUGAAAUAAGGACAUUUCUCAUCGCUUCACAGGGAGUGAAGGUGUCUGUGGGCUCGUCAAGUUGAGUAAGAAAGAAAGAUAGAUGUGGAGGAGGGACACAGGCUAGGGGAGAGAAAAGCUGGAGAUACCAACUGAUAAAAGAGUCCCCUUAGAGACAAAUGUAUG
rnacentral:lncRNA from 1 species